UCCAGGGUAGCCUAGUGGACAUGGCAUCUGCCCUGUAAGCGGAAGGUCGUGGGUUCGAUUCCCGCCCCUGGAC